AGCAGCCGCGGUAAUUCCAGCUCCAAUAGCGUAUAUUAAAGUUGUUGCAGUUAAAAAGCUCGUAGUUGAAUUUCGAGAUCAAAUUGUUGGUCGUGCCUUGGUACGUACUGGCAUUAUUGGUUUCUCCCUUCUGACGAACCAUGAUGUCAUUAAUUUGGUGUCAUGGGGAAUCAGGACUGUUACUUUGAAAAAAUUAGAGUGUUUAAAGCAGGCUCGCGCUUGAAUACGUUAGCAUGGAAUAAUGAAAUAGGACGUUUAAUUCUAUUUUGUUGGUUUCUAGGAUUGACGUAAUGAUUAAUAGGGAUAGUUGGGGGCAUUAGUAUUCAAUUGUCAGAGGUGAAAUUCUUGGAUUUAUUGAAGACUAACUACUGCGAAAGCAUUUGCCAAGGAUGUUUUCAUUAAUCAAGAACGAAAGUUAGGGGAUCGAAGACGAUCAGAUACCGUCGUAGUCUUAACCAUAAACUAUGCCGACUAGGGAUCGGAUGAUGUUAAUUUUUAAUGACUCAUUCGGCGUCCG
rnacentral:rRNA from 1 species